rnacentral:ncRNA from 1 species
AAAAAGGGGAGCUGGCUUGCAGCCGGCUGAGAGUGGACUGUAUCGUCCAGACCCGGAACCUGAUUUGGAUAAUGCCAACGUAGGGAAAUAGCGUAA